AUUGAACGCUGGCGGCAGGCUUAACACAUGCAAGUCGAGCGGGGUGAUGGUGCUUGCACUAUCACUUAGCGGCGGACGGGUGAGUAAUGCUUAGGAAUCUGCCUAUUAGUGGGGGACAACAUCUCGAAAGGGAUGCUAAUACCGCAUACGUCCUACGGGAGAAAGCAGGGGAUCACUUGUGACCUUGCGCUAAUAGAUGAGCCUAAGUCGGAUUAGCUAGUUGGUGGGGUAAAGGCCUACCAAGGCGACGAUCUGUAGCGGGUCUGAGAGGAUGAUCCGCCACACUGGGACUGAGACACGGCCCAGACUCCUACGGGAGGCAGCAGUGGGGAAUAUUGGACAAUGGGGGGAACCCUGAUCCAGCCAUGCCGCGUGUGUGAAGAAGGCCUUAUGGUUGUAAAGCACUUUAAGCGAGGAGGAGGCUCUUUUGGUUAAUACCCAAGAUGAGUGGACGUUACUCGCAGAAUAAGCGCCGGCUAACUCUGUGCCAGCAGCCGCGGUAA
rnacentral:rRNA from 1 species